UACGGGGGGGGCAAGCGUUGUCCGGAAUUAUUGGGCGUAAAGCGCGCGCAGGUGGUUUCUUAAGUCUGAUGUGAAAGCCCACGGCUCAACCGUGGAGGGUCAUUGGAAACUGGGGGACUUGAGUACAGAAGAGAAGAGUGGAAUUCCACGUGUAGCGGUGAAAUGCGUAGAGAUGUGGAGGAACACCAGUGGCGAAGGCGACUCUUUGGUCUGUAACUGACGCUGAGGCGCGAAAGCGUGGGGAGCAAACAGG
rnacentral:rRNA from 1 species